rnacentral:lncRNA from 1 species
CAGAGCUGUAGAUUAGAAGUACUAAAGCGUCGUUCUAUUGUGUGUGCGUAGGUGUGUGCUGAGAAGGAGUCUACAGUUCUUGUGCCUGCUGGCCUCGUUUCUGGGUCCUGGUGACUUUAGUGGCACUUCCCACCCCACAGGGACACUUGUGCGCAUGGCUGGCCAUCGUAAUGUGUUUCCAUUGGAAAUCAUGCUGGCACAGAUGUUUUCAGGCUACAGGCUGCAUGCUAGCAGAGUGACCUGUAGCUGGAAUUCCCUGGCAUAGAAACACUCAGGCUGCUCAGGCAGGGCACAGGCGUGAGGUCCCUCAUGGAAUCCUGUGUUUGGGGAUUUGAUUCAGCUAGGCAGUUCCAGAGACUUCACUGUACCAGGAAACCCCGUGUCAGCAAGGUCCUUGGGGCUAACUUGGGAUGCUGAUCACCAAGCCUCAGAAUUGCCAAGGUCAAGGCUCCCCACAGGCUGCCGUGCCAGAGCUGCUCAUGGGGCACUGUUGCUCUACCCACUCAUUUCGGGACUUUGCUCACAGGGAUGAGGUGUGCAGGGAGCUCAUGGUCCUGUGAUGUGUCCUGCAGGACUUUCCACCACGAUACUCUCACCUUUCCAGAGGUGCUACUUGAAGCUCUCCUCCUCUUCAAAGUGGAGCACGAGGAGAUGCGAAGAAUUGGAAACUGCAAACGCCACUCGCCAGCUUCAGGGAUUUAGCUUUCAUUGGUUGCAGCCACGCUCAUAUUGUGAGGCCCCAGAACUAUGCAAUGUCUUGAUUAUCACCCAGGCCCCUCAGACCUCUGCAUCUGCUCCCACAAAAGCAUCUUGUAAGUUCCAAGGGCAUCUUGUUUUGCAUCCAACAACAUCUUUGUAGAAAAUUCACUCAUUUUUUUUAACGAAUCUUGUGCCACUGUUAUGUAUCAGCUUUGCUAGGUGCUGGACACAGUAGUGAAGCCCCGGGGGCUUGCAUCUAAUGAUACACCCAGGUUGAUGAGCCACUCAGCUACAAUCAUAAAGGUGUCCUGCCAACAAGAAAGGACACCUUCCUAAGAAAAGGAAAGAGUAUUUGAGCUAAUUAUUUAUAUUCUAGGCAAAUCAAGGAAUCUGCCUAAAAUCGGAUCACAGCUUAAACAUCAAU